AUGAACCGGCCCACCAGAAAAGGCCUGAGAAACUCGCUGUUUGCUUUCACCUCAACCCUUCAUUCUUCCUAUCAUUUCUUUGUUGAUCUUCUCAGCAUCUCUCCAUCACAGCAGUUGUUCUCCCUCCAUUUCUUCCAGGAGCAGUGUUUGAGGAGGCGUGUCCAGGAAACAGUGGCCAUCGCGCUGGCUUCCUGUGUGACAGGAUCACAAAAGCAUCCCUCGGUGCAGACUCCUCUUGGUGCUGGAUGCACAAGAAACCACUCAGGGGUUGUGGGAUGUUCCCAACAUGCACCUGUGGAAAAAAAACCCACCCCACAAGCUUGGUGUCAUAAUGAACGGUCUGCCUCGGAGAUGCGGAGAGGAGGAAACCCUGCAGAUCAGAGACAGAGGAAGAGAUGCUCUCCUGGUGAUGAGGAAGGGAAUGUAACGUGUGGUGAGGCAGGGUGUCUGCACUGCGGUUUCACCCCUGCAAACCUCUCAUCCAUUGUUCAAGACUAUCAUCAGCUGUUCAAUUAUUCAGAUGAUAUUUACCAGGGCCAAUUAUACAGGGCUGUGUCCUGCAGAGAAAAUGGCGAGAGUGUUUUACUGUUGCACUUACAUCCAGAUGGAGAAGUUUGCUGCCGAGGCUGUUCAAGUGGGGGGGCGAGGAAACCUUUAGCUGUUUCUUCUUAUUCCAACAUUUCAAAUUUGUUACCAUGAUGCACUUUGUCUGACUCACACACACUGACACACACACGCUGCACUCAGCAGAGAGGAUUCACUUCUCUAAUAUUUCCAUCUUUUCUACAGAAGCAAUGACACAAGAGGUGAAAAGGCUAUUCUGAAGCAGUUCAGAGUGAAAACAGCGUUUAUCCUCUCACACCCAGCACCUCUGUGCUCUGUGGACUGACGCUAAAAUCACAGAGAUUUGGUGUCACCACUUUGUCUCGACAUCUCUUUGAUGUGCAGCUCAGAGUGCAGGAGCAAACAACUCAUGGCCCCUCCUUUGUCUCCCUCUUUCAGCUUUCAGACUUUACUAAAUAAACUUAUAACAAAAACAGAUAAAAUAAGUAUUUAUUAAAAAUGCCUCCUUAUUUAGGUUUACUUCUGUUUCAAGGUAAAAAGACAAACACUCUAUUCUUUUAUGGGGAAAAAAGUGAUAUUUGACUCCAGAGAUCAUGUUUUUGUGUUCAACAUAAUAAAUUAUGUGGAAAAAUAUGAACUUCUUUAACAAAAACAUGAUUUUUUAAAAAAAGAAACUGCUUUUAAAAAUGUAUAUUUUUACAGCACCUGUAAUUUACAUAUUAUCAAUAAAAAAAUUGGAAUAUGGAGGAUUAAACCUGACUAUUAUAAUAAAUAAAAUAAUAUAAACAAACGUGUCUCCUUUCAGUUGUGUUUGUAGAUUUUUACUUACUUUGUGAAGGUCAAGCUGAGGAAACGAGCUGAUAAUCCACACCAACAGCUUGUUAACUGCUGUUUAUAUCGUCUCAAUCCUCAUCAUUUGGAGGGGAAAGGGGAUAAAGCCUUUGUUCUGUUAUUCCUUUUUUAGUUUAUCAGUAGAAAGUAAAGUAGUCUUUUUUUCCUUUGGGUGCUCAAACAGGGUCCAGGUUUAAGAAAAUUAGGCUGUGAGGUAUUUAUCUUCUCUGUUAUUUUUGAGUAAAUACAACCAAAGCUUUUGGAUCCUCUACAAAAGCGAUGUCUUUGGUGUUGGAGUCAGGGAUGAAUAUCUGUUUAUGUUUUUGAAGCAAACAGCUUCUGAUGAGAAGGGUGCGACAGAAUCAGAACUUGUCCCACUCGUGUAAAUCCUCCAUGUGACACAUCAUGACCUCUCAGAUCAACAGACGCGUCCGGUUUAUUGGAUGAAAGUCCUCAGAUCCAGUCCAUGUGGACCCACAGGAAGACGAAGGUCUUCUGGGCUGUAGUCUUUUAUUCCUCUUGCUAGAACUUUGGGUUCCUCUUUCUGCUUUUUAAGUUCACUUCACUGUUUAGCCACAAUCCGUGUUGUCAGGAGCAACUUCCCACACAUAUGAUCAGGUGUUUUCUUGAUAUUCUUCUAAGCGUGUCUCUGUUGCAGCCUGCGGACAGGCUGCUCCACCUCCACCGUGCUUGCUCUCCUCUGACGCGCCGAUCCUCUCUCGUUUAAGAUGUUCACUUCUCCUGAAGGAAAAGCCCUUUGAUCAGGUGUGUUUUUUUUUUCAUUUAUUCUCUUAAAUCGUCAGUUUGCUGUUUUAGGGAUCUUCGGACUUGUUUUGUCCUCGGUGAUGAGUGGAGCUGGCUCCGUGCGCAGUAACCGCGGCGCUCUCCUCCUCCUCCUGUCUCGGUGUCCUCGCUGUAGCCUUCUGUCUGCGUUUAAACACCAUCUGGAGCUCCUAACCUCUCUCUCUCUCUCUCGCUCUCUCUCUCGCUCUCUCUCUCGCUCUCUCUCUCGCUCUCUCUCUCUCUCUCUCUCGGGUACCAUCAGAAGGGAGAAGCUGGCAGCUAUGGCACAGGAAUCCUUUCUAGUAUUUAAAAUAAAUCCUAAAUAGGAAAUGUAAACCCUGCAUUAGUGCUCCCUUACAAUGUUUUGAAGCAACACAUUCUCACUCCCAGCGCGUCAAAAAUAAACGCUUGGUCGGCCACCCUCAACACAGAAGGUGAAUUUAAUCAACACAAUGUGGCUCCAAAUAUAAAAAAAGUACUUGCUGAACGUAUCCGAAUAACACGCAAUAAUUGUUCAACGAAACAUCUAAAAAACAUCACGUGUAUGGCCUGCAGCGCUUAUUCUAAAAACGAUGGCACCUUUUUAUUUCAGAAUAAAAGAGAAGAGCGAAAGUCAGCUCCCUUGCUAUGCCUCUGUCUGCCCGUAGGGGCCGCUGUUUCAUCAUAUCAGGACGGCCAGGAUAAGGACAGCAGCUCGUCCCACACACGUUAUUCACUUUAUUAACCACUUUUACAAUAGUUUUCUGAGAGGAGAAGUACCGAAAAGAGAAAAAAAGUGUUUGUUGGUAUUUGAACAUACAUGUGUAAAUAUUUUGAAGCCUGUAAAAUUAACAGCUUUAUCAGUGUCCAGAUGCCACAAGGAGUCAGGUUAGUGGACUCAUGAGAAGAUGGACAGAUGGGAGAUGUGUCUGUUAUCAACGACAAUAAUGUGCUGAAGCUAUCAACAUGCAUUAAGCUGCUGUCAUGUUUGUUUUUAGUGGACCAAAAUAUGAACAUUUUAUCAUCUAAGAUGUAGUUGACUGUUGUACUCUCUAAAUCUCAGCUUAAUAAAUGCGAAAAAUAAAAGAUGUAACAUAUAGUAUCAUAUCACAUAUAUAUAUAUC
rnacentral:lncRNA from 1 species